rnacentral:rRNA from 1 species
UGGGGAAUAUUGGACAAUGGGCGCAAGCCUGAUCCAGCCAUGCCGCGCGUGUGAAGAAGGCCCUUUGGUUGUAAAGCACUUUAAGCGAGGAGGAGGCUACUUGGAUUAAUACUCUAGGAUAGUGGACGUUACUCGCAGAAUAAGCACCGGCUAACUCUGUGCCAGCAGCCGCGGUAAUACAGAGGGUGCGAGCGUUAAUCGGAUUUACUGGGCGUAAAGCGUGCGUAGGCGGCUUCUUAAGUCGGAUGUGAAAUCCCUGAGCUUAACUUAGGAAUUGCAUUCGAUACUGGGAAGCUAGAGUAUGGGAGAGGAUGGUAGAAUUCCAGGUGUAGCGGUGAAAUGCGUAGAGAUCUGGAGGAAUACCGAGGGCGAAGGCAGCCAUCUGGCCUAAUACUGACGCUGAGGUACGAAAGCAUGGGGAGCAAACAGG